rnacentral:lncRNA from 10 species
GGCAGCUCUUGACCUUUAAAAAUCACAUGGAGCAAGAGGUGGUGAAAAAUGUUUAUUUACUCUGCAUUAGUGGCUAACCUCCUGUUCCUUCCUAGAACCAGUAGUUCUUUUAUACUCGGGAACUCACGCAUGUCACCCUCAUUCUUCCAACACGAACCAGACAGGCCCACUUGAGCUGGAGAAACAAUGGCCUGUAGCCGGUCCUAUGCCUCAGUGCGAAACAACAAUGCAGGCCUCUUGACGAAUUCUGGCGUCGCGAGUGGAAUCUUGCAGUUCAACAUGUCUGCUGAACAGAAGUUGGAAAAAGAAAAGAUCAUCUUGUAAACAAUUAAUUAAUGUUUGUCAUGAAUUAUCAUUUUUACUUCCUUCUCAAGAGGCUCAAAGGGAAUAAAAAGGCAUUUUUGCAGGUGGUGGCAUUCAAACUAAGGGCAAUCAAAGGUUUGAGAGCUGAGGCACAGCACUCUGAGUCUCUAAGGGUGAAUGGUGCUAGGAUUAGAGCACAGCAGGGGGUUGAGGGCUUCAGGUGUGAAGCUUAAUGUUUGUGAUCAGCAAAAAAAGUCUUGAAUUUAUCUAAACUGCUCUUCUGCUAACAGUACUUCUAGCACAUAAAUGUUCUGAAACUGACAAGUGUUCUCAUUGCUCUUCUAAUGCAAACAUGAUCUGCAUUUGAAAGAUGCAUCCCUUUUGCCUAAUUUAGAAUGUGCAUCACAAAGAGCGUUAGAUGAUGACCCCACAAAGAGAUACACACACACACACACACACACACACACACACACACACACACUCCAUGCUGCAUGCACAUACACACAUGAAAACUGUCUCUUUCUGGCCUAGAUCUUCUCUGAAGCUCCCAGGAAGGAUCCUGCAAGAUUGUUUUUCUCCAGAUUCCUAAACCAGAGGUUGAGAACUAGGGGCCUCAAUAGCCAUCUGACCAGUGAAUUCCUCUGAUCUUCUACAUGAAUAAUUCCUUUUAAUUUGGUUUGGAUAACUGUCUAGAAUUUAUCGUGCUGCAUUUUCAUUUGCAAUCUUCCCUCUGCUUCUCCCAGCAUUGAAUUCUAUCAGUAGCAAGAUAUUGAAGAGUAUCCAAUAUAUGUAAAAAUUUUAAACACACACACCACCAAUAUUAAAAUUUCCUAAGGAAUUAUGACUAAUAUUUGCAACCCCUAGAACCAAUGAUCUUGGCAGGCAUUGUUGAUAGAGGUUGCUAAGUCCAUAUAAAUACAUCUGAUGGUUUAAUGAAUCCUCUCCGUAAUCAAUUGUUGAACUCUAAUUAAAUACUCAUUUUCUUUCUAUAUCAUCAAUAGAGGUCACCUACUAGGAGAGCUCUAAAGGAAAUACUAAGUUAAAGAUUAUGAGAUAUCACUUAGUGAAAAUGAGUCAUAGGCAAAACUUAGAAGGACCAAUAUGAAUCUUAGCCUUGAGUUACUUUUUAAUCUAACCUUCCCAAACUCUCUCCUAUCCCGUAGUACCCACCCAUUUUCUUUUCUGCAUUCACAUUUCCUAUUCCCUGUAGUAUUCACCUGAAAUCAUGCAAUAAACACAGGUUAUUGGGGCAUGAAGCCUGGAGGCCCUGAGGGAUCCAGGAUGACAAAGGAAAUGUAGGCACAAACUUGCCUCCUUUUGUCUUGACUCUUUUGGAGCUAUUAAGUCAAGUGAUGCUCUGAGGUUUAUAGUCACCAUCCUAGACCAUGUCGUGGGAUUUUCCCUUGAAUCCCAGCAUGUAGUACAAACAUGUGGGCUUAAACUUAGGAAAAAAAAACCCAGAAGCUAGAGAAGAGUUUGGGCAAAAUGGGCCAAACUAGAAUAUUAUCAGCUCAGGGACAUGAAAGGAGAGUUAAAAAGUUUAGAAGAGGAAGGGAUCUGGGAGGAAAGAAGGUGAGCAGAACCCCUGAGAUGGAAUAGACAGAAAGGAACACCUUUCCUGAAAUUCCUGGCAGCUCUAGUUUGUUAACAUCUAAAAGUGGAUAAAAUGACUUACCAGAAAAAGUAAAUUAGUUUCUCAAAACUACUAAAACUCUUCAAACCUAGAGAUCUACUUAUUUUCUGUGGUUCCCCAUUUUUUGUAAAGAUGUUAAAAUCCUAUUAAAAGCCAAAUGCCAACUGCUGUAGAAUUAUGUAGAAAAAAACAGCGAAAAGAAAGUAGCAAUGGAUAUGGUGAAACUGAAAAAGACUGGAGUUCAUGACACUCUCUAUACCCAAAGGUAUACUCCAGAUUUAUUACAGGUACACUGAGGUUGUUUCUAAGUCCCAGGAUUCUGGACCUUGGUUAGGGUGUGUGGCUCUGCCUGUUGGUCUACCCUAUGUCCACAUCGUCUCUCUGAACCUGCCUAACUUUCCCUUGCCCCCUUGCUGAACAAUGCUCUGCAUGUGGCCUUGUCUCUAGGACAGAUCAUAUGACUGGGGGCAGGAGGUUCCCCUUUCUUCCCUGCCACAUGCUGCUCUUCAUUCUUACUUUGGAUGGCUAAGAUAGCAUUCACUGGGGCUUGAGGGGAGGGGGCUGAAAAGGUCUCAAAUGAGUGAAAAAUUGAAAGCCUAUGUGGCUUUUAUUGGUAUUGGAUCAAUUGGUCUAGAUCUAACUGGAAAAUGUUUUACUGUAGGGUGAAUUUUACAAAAUUAUGAACAUUUAGCUUUAAAAUAAAUGGCAUUGAUUAAUCCAGUCAUUACAAAUAUGUGCAAAGUUGGUAUCAGCCUAACACACUCCCCCUACCAGGAAAGACACAGACUGAAACAUAGAUGGCAAUGGUUUUCACAUUCUUUAAGUGUAAACAAUUAGAUUCCCCCAACAAGUGUUUAGCUGCAAGUUGCAUUAACCCAAAGCAACAAGGAAGAGUUUCAAGGAGUAAAAACAAAGAAUAGUUUUAAGGAGUAUUACUAGGAAUAUAUCUUCCUUCUACAGCAGAAAAACUAGAUGGGGGGAAGUCCUCCUAUAGAUUGCUAACGAAUGCCUCCCCCAACCACCCAAGAAGGAGUUGUUGAUGGAAAGAAUUAAAAAUUGUGACCACUUGAACGGCUCCACUGGUUGGAUCUGUCUUUUCCAAAGAGACUGAUCUUUCUAGGACUUCUGUCUGCGUGAGAGGUCCCACCCACCCUGCUACCAUUUUAAGGAGACCUGUGAAAGCCUCCUUAUUUGGCUUCCCUCCUACUCCCCCCGUUAUGCCACCACUGUGUGCUACUGCUUGAAAUUAAUCAAGGGCCCCUUCUGGGAAAGGGAUUCCUCUUUGAGAGAAACGGAACUGGACACUUCUCUGCCUUCCGCGUCCCCUCGCCCUGCCAGCCCCUGCUCCCCAAAGCUCCCCAGACAAAGCCCCAGGACUCCCGACUCCCGCGGAAGCUGCGAGGAGCCGCAGACCUGCCCUUGCCAGACAGCUGCUGUUUGAACCCAGUUCUGACCGUAAAAUCAAAAGUGGGUCCGAGGGAAGCGGUAAACACUGUGCAAUGAGCCUUUUGAAGGCAGCUGAUGCCUCAUUUGGGGUGACAUGUUGUGGCUGAUGAGUGUGGAUGAUGUGGGGUUUUCGAUAAGUGCCUCAUCAGUAUCCUCAUCAUGCUCGUGUUGCUCCGCCGCGGCGUGUGCCCUGACUUGAUUGUAAUUGCCCGAAUCUGCUCCCGCUGCUCAGGCGCGCACAGUAAUAUGCAAUAAAACAGCAAGAAGUGAAUGUUAACCAUCUGAGUUCUGACACGGCGGCUCUGCAGUUCAAGAUCUCCAUUAAGACCGAAAAAAAAAAGAAAAGAAAAAAAGGAAAGAAGGAAUCAGAAAAUUCCCAGGGUCUCCUUCUGUGAUCCAAGGGAAAGUCCAGAAAUUAAGGAGCUGUUUGUUUAGUCUUCUUAGGUCCUCACAGGUAGAAACUAACAGGUAGUUUGCUAGUGUUUAUUUAUUUAUAAUUAUUUUUUUUUUACAUCCCAGGUGUCGCUGCCCUUGCUGCUUAACUCUAAUAGCAGGCACCGCUGCAGCACUUGCCCAGGUGUGGAGGGUGGUCCAGGUCUUCAGGGGAGGCAGAGACCCUCCUCGCCCCAGUCUGUCAGUGUCCUCCGUAAGCCUUCGGUUGUUUCAGGUGCUAAAUAUGUAAGAUCCAACUUUUCAGCGAACUCAAAGAGGCAGACACCUGAAGCACUGCUUCAUCAAAUCACUCACUGCUUACUGGCUUGGUUUUCAACUUCGCUAACAUGCAGAGUGACCUAAAUGGUCUCUUCCGUUCUUUCCACAAUGACCACACACCUACGGAGGUCGCCUUCUAUACUUUGAAUUAAACCUGCUAGUGUCAGGGACAUCGGGAGAACCAACUUCUGGAAACUGAGCUGGUCCCCAGGACUGUGUAUUUAGUUUUCAACUGUAAGAAAAGGAAGUCUAUCUGGGAAAGGAGACCUGAGGUGCUGAAAAACAAGGGAAAAAAUGGUCUUGAAAACAAGGAAUCAUAUUUGCCUGUGGAUAUGGAAGAGACACUGACCGAGGCUGACUCUCCAACUAGCUGUUUUGUCACAGGCGAGUGGAAACUAGUCAUGAACAAUGAGUGUGCAUUCUUGCUUCUUAAAUGGCUAAGGAACGAACCAGUUUUGACAUGCUGCAAAUCCGGCAAAGUCUGGGUUAACAAAAGUGUGUUUGACAAAAGAUGAAGUUUCUUUUCCUAUAUUUUCCCCAGAAUUUCAGAUUUGUAAUUAUUGCUGAGCGCAAGAAAACAUCAGGAAGAUUUGUGGUUUAUGGAAGAAUAGGCACCUUCCAACGUUAAUCUUAUCUCCCUAUUGCAGGCUGGAAUACAGUGCAUCACUGCAGCCUUGACCUUCUGGGGUCAAGUGAUCCUCCUACCUCAGCCUCCCAAAGUGCUGAGAUUACAGGAGUGAACCACCAAACAAUUAUUGACCUGAACAACUGCUCCAUGAAAGAAUUUCCACAUAACUGUAGCUGCAUCUUUCAAAUGUUUAAUUUAUAACUGUGGUAAUGUAUGUACUGCCUAAUGUAACUGGGGUAUUGUAAAGGGGAGGCUCUCAAAAGAGAGGUACUAUAAUUUCUUUGUAAUAUCCUAAUUGCUGUCCAAAAACAGACCUGGUUUUAUAAUAUUAGCUAACAUCUACUGAGCAAUUCCCUUGGGACAGACAGUUUCAAACAUGCAAGAUCUCACCUCUUCUUCGUAACAAUCAAUAAGGUAGUCUCUACUAUUGUCAUUCCCAUUUCACAGACUGGGAAAUAAGAACAAAGACAGAUUAAGUAAAUUGAUCAAAGUCACACCGUCAAAGGGAUAAAGCUGGAUCUAUUGUUUAUUUACAUGAAUACUGACA